UAGGGAAUCUUCGGCAAUGGACGGAAGUCUGACCGAGCAACGCCGCGUGAGUGAAGAAGGUUUUCGGAUCGUAAAACUCUGUUGUUAGAGAAGAACAAGGAUGAGAGUAGAAUGUUCAUCCCUUGACGGUAUCUAACCAGAAAGCCACGGCUAACUACGUGCCAGCAGCCGCGGUAAUACGUAGGUGGCAAGCGUUGUCCGGAUUUAUUGGGCGUAAAGCGAGCGCAGGCGGUUUCUUAAGUCUGAUGUGAAAGCCCCCGGCUUAACCGGGGAGGGUCAUUGGAAACUGGGAGACUUGAGUGCAGAAGAGGAGAGUGGAAUUCCAUGUGUAGCGGUGAAAUGCGUAGAUAUAUGGAGGAACACCAGUGGCGAAGGCGACUCUCUGGUCUGUAACUGACGCUGAGGCUCGAAAGCGUGGGGAGCAAACAGG
rnacentral:rRNA from 1 species